rnacentral:rRNA from 1 species
GAUGAACGCUGGCGGCGUGCCUAAUACAUGCAAGUCGAGCGAACGGACGAGAAGCUUGCUUCUCUGAUGUUAGCGGCGGACGGGUGAGUAACACGUGGAUAACCUACCUAUAAGACUGGGAUAACUUCGGGAAACCGGAGCUAAUACCGGAUGAUAUUUUGAACCGCAUGGUUCAAAAGUGAAAGACGGUCUUGCUGUCACUGAUAGAUGGAUCCGCGCUGCAUUAGCUAGUUGGUAAGGUAACGGCUUACCAAGGCAACGAUGCAUAGCCGACCUGAGAGGGUGGUCGGCCACACUGGAACUGGGACACGGUCCAGACUCCUACGGGAGGCAGCAGUAGGGAAUCUUCCGCAAUGGGCGAAAGCCUGACGGAGCAACGCCGCGUGAGUGAUGAAGGUCUUCGGAUCGUAAAACUCUGUUAUUAGGGAAGAACAUAUGUGUAAGUAACUGUGCACAUCUUGACGGUACCUAAUCAGAAAGCCACGGCUAACUACGUG